AUCCAAAGGACUUCUUAAGGUCAUUGAAAUUUUCUUAAAACACCCCUAAAGCAAGAUGUACAAGUCUUUUAAGCACACUAAAACCUCACUUUCCAAUAAUACCCUUUUGUCAAACAAAAAAAACACGUACACGAAUUAGGGUUUUACAUAUUCAUCUCAUUCCUAUCCGUCUCCAUCUCUCUCUCUUUCUCUCUCUUGCGGCGAUUCAGACGUUUGAUGAAGAUAUCACCAGAUUGGUUCAGAUUUUGUUAUCUUCGACUGCUAUUGUUGGUGGUUGUAUGGUUAAGUUGGCCAUUCCGACUACUCGACAACCCUAAGAUCUCUGUUCGUCGCUCUUCUUCAUUUGGGUGUAAUGAAGCUUCCAUAAGAAGAACCUAUGGAGAAAUCUGAUGAAAUUCUGGUACAAGUUUGAAAGCCGCUGCCACUUAGUUUCUUUUCAAUUUUACUCUGAUUGUGCUCCAGAUCUGACUUGGAUCAAAGUGUUGAUUAGUGGGUUGAGACUAAAAGGCUUUCAAUGAAUUAUGAAGUUAAGAAACAAAUGGUUGAUGGACAAAGAAAGCAAUUAAGGUCAACUGAAAAAGCUUGCCCUGAAGAGGACUGUAAACAGUCGUUGAUUGUUCAAUUUGCUGACCUUAAGAGACCCAAGCCAGGAGAAACGAGGUUAUUUCUUUGCUUUUAAUAAUAAUUUAGCUAGGUGAUGCCCUAUAUUCAUCAGUUUGACAACAUUACGUCAUUGUUGCCCCCAAAUUCGUGGCUUGGAUUGCACCCUGUUCCUGAUGAUAGACGUGAUGCAGCAAGAGCAGAAAACUCACUUAAUCGUUUGGGAGUGAAUUAAUCGAUUUCGCAGACCGCUGCAAAUGUUGUGCCUUCUGCUGCGAAUGUUGUACUGGUGGUUUCGGCUAAUGGUCAUCCUGAAGAGAGCUGGAAUCCUGUUGGAGAACAGAAGGUGGAUGCUAAUGGGGUCCAGCCUUCGGCUGAGGUACAAGCUACUACGCCGGAGGUCAAGGAGGCUGAAAACGCGAGUUCGGAGAGUCAGGUUAAGCAAGGUGACAUUCAUCUUUUCCCUGUUCCCGUCAAAACCCAAUUUGGUGAGAAGCUAGAGUUUCAAAUAAGUACCAGUGAUUCUAUUAUGGAUGUGAGGCAAUUCCUUCUUGAUGCUCCUGAGACGUGCUUUUUUACUUGUUACGACUUAUUGUUGCACACUAACGGCGGUUCCGCUCAUCAUUUAGAAGAUUACCAUGAAAUUCGUGAGGUGGCUGACAUCACCUCUGGAGGCUGUACUUUAGAAAUGAUUGCAGCGAUUUAUGAUGAGAGAUCUAUCAGGGCCCACGUUUACCGUACCCGAGAGUUGCUUUCUCUUUCAACACCGCACUCCUCGUUAUCAACAUCACUUGCAUUGCAACAUGAAAUGGGGCAGAAUGCAACUGCAAAUUCAGGAGAUCAAUCCAAAAAAACCGAGGUUUUGGAGCUCGAGAAUCUAGGAUUCAUGGAGGACGUUUCCGGUUCACUUUCAAACCUGUUGUCUCCUUCGAAAGAAAUCAAAUGUGUAGAAAGUAUCAUCUUUUCAUCAUUUAACCCUCCUCCAAGCUACAGAAGAUUUGUUAAUUGUUAUUUUGACUAUUUUACAUUUCUAAUGAUCUUAUUGUAGGCAUACAUUAUCAUUUCUUAUUUUUAUUCUUUUAAAUUACGUUCAGGCUGGGUACCUAAUUUAUCUGGAUGUGGUGACACUGAAAGGGAUCAAGUAUUGUAUAACCGGAACCACAACCACAUUUUACGUUAACUCAAGUUCCGGAAAUACCCUUGACCCGAAACCGACCAAGGCUGCUUCUGAAGCAACUACCCUUAUCGGGCUCUUGCAAAAGAUCAAUUCCAAAUUUAAGAAAGAUUUUCGUGAAAUGUUGGAACGAAAGGCAUCCACUCAUCCAUUUGAAAACAUUCAGUCAUUGUUGCCCCCAAAUUCGUGGCUUGGAUUGCACCCUGUUCCCGAUCAUAGACGUGAUGCAGCAAGAGCAAAAAAACUAACUUACUUUAUCGUUUGGGAGUGAAUUAAUCGGUAUGCAAAGAGACUGGAAUGAGGAACUACAAUCUUGUAGAGAGUUUCCUCAUGCAAGCCCUCAAAAAAGGCCUUAUGACUUACUUUCGUGAAGAGGUGGCAGCUUCAACUCUGUUAUUUAUAAAUGGGUUGGUUUCGAAUCUGUUUUAUCUCAUACGGGUUAAAUUGAAAACUUCAGCGAAAAGGGAGCGGGUCAAAUGAGAUAAAAGUCUCUUGAGUGUUAUUUAAAGAUUUAGAUUUUUAAAUAAUCCAAGUUUUUUAAUUGGACCAAAAGUGUUAGUAGGGCUUCCCACCCUUUUACGUUCAUUUGUGCAUAGGCUUUGGUGGGAAUAAACCAAGAGUUAGCAAGGUGGGUGCACCAUCCGGUUCACGAUCGUUCAGAACCGUAUGCGUCGAGUCUGACCCUGAUAACCCAUUUGGUUCCUUGGCUGCACUCCAGCAGAAUUGCUCGAUGGCGAUUUGAAAUCGUUAGGCGGUCUAUUCGAUGUUCUUAUGACAUGGCUAAGCGCCGCGGGGACGUAUCAGCAAACAUGCACAGACGGUAAUCAAGACAAUGUUGUAGGAUACCUUUAGAAAUCAAGCGACUUAAUAAGCAACAGCCUUGCAAUUAUCUAGGGGUUUUCACGUGUCACGAAUUCUAACAACCAAAGAAGAAGAUUGAUGAGCUUAGUUGAGCGAUGUGCACACUGUUUUGGGACGUCCAUGGAAAAACUAUUCGACCACAUUUUACCUUAACAACAUGAUGCCAAGCUUCAUUGAUCCUAAAGGAUGGUUUCCAUGGGUGGGAGCAUCAGCUCCCAACACCAUAUUCUAUCCAGAGUUUGCUAAUUAUGGUGCUGGUGCGGUCACAAAGGUUAGGGUUAUAUGGAAAGGACUCAAAUUUAUAGCUGCCAAACAAGCGAGCAAGUUCUCUGUUAUACCUUUUAUUCAGGGGGACAAGUGGCUUAAAGAUACUGAUGUGUCAUACAAAUCAGGACUUUGAUAACAAUCUCUCAAAUCUUUCUUUUAAAAUUUGAAUUUUCAUAAUUUUUAUGUUAUUCAGAUUCCUUAAUUUUGUAAGUUAUCAUCUCUACAUGUGCUGUGUUGUAUCCAAUGUUUGUGCGAAAGUUAACAUUGAUUUUGUGUUGA